rnacentral:rRNA from 1 species
UAAAAGUUUAAUCUAAUUAAUGUGUUUUGUUGGGGCGACAUAAAUAUAAUUUAUAUUAACUGUUUAUAAAUUAAUACAAUAAUAAAUGAUUUUAAUGUAGUUGAUCCUUAUUAAAGAUUAAAAGACUAAGUUACCAUAGGGAUAACAGCGA